rnacentral:rRNA from 1 species
UGGCGGCAGGCUUAACACAUGCAAGUCGAACGGUAGCAGGAAGAAAGCUUGCUUUCUUUGCUGACGAGUGGCGGACGGGUGAGUAAUACUUGGGAAUCUGGCUUAUGGAGGGGGAUAACUGUGGGAAACUGCAGCUAAUACCGCGUAUUCUCUGAGGAGGAAAGGGUGGGACCUUAGGGCCACCUGCCAUAAGAUGAGCCCAAGUGGGAUUAGGUAGUUGGUGGGGUAAAGGCCUACCAAGCCUGCGAUCUCUAGCUGGUCUGAGAGGAUGACCAGCCACACUGGAACUGAGACACGGUCCAGACUCCUACGGGAGGCAGCAGUGGGGAAUAUUGCGCAAUGGGGGGAACCCUGACGCAGCCAUGCCGCGUGAAUGAAGAAGGCCUUCGGGUUGUAAAGUUCUUUCGGUAAUGAGGAAGGGAUGUUGUUAAAUAGAUAGCAUCAUUGACGUUAAUUACAGAAGAAGCACCGGCUAACUCCGUGCCAGCAGCCGCGGUAAUACGGAGGGUGCGAGCGUUAAUCGGAAUAACUGGGCGUAAAGGGCACGCAGGCGGACUUUUAAGUGAGAUGUGAAAUCCCCGAGCUUAACUUGGGAACUGCAUUUCAGACUGGGAGUCUAGAGUACUUUAGGGAGGGGUAGAAUUCCACGUGUAGCGGUGAAAUGCGUAGAGAUGUGGAGGAAUACCGAAGGCGAAGGCAGCCCCUUGGGAAUGUACUGACGCUCAUGUGCGAAAGCGUGGGGAGCAAACAGGAUUAGAUACCCUGGUAGUCCACGCUGUAAACGCUGUCGAUUUGGGGAUUGGGCUAUAUGCUUGGUGCCCGAAGCUAACGUGAUAAAUCGACCGCCUGGGGAGUACGGCCGCAAGGUUAAAACUCAAAUGAAUUGACGGGGGCCCGCACAAGCGGUGGAGCAUGUGGUUUAAUUCGAUGCAACGCG